AAAAGCUGUAGAGUAAGGGUGGAAAGACGGUGCCAGCCGCCGCGGUGACACCGGCACCCCGAGUGUAGCCACUUUAUUGGGCCUAAAGCGUUCGUAGCCGGUUUGGUAAAUUCUUGGGUAAAUCGUACCGCUCAACGGUGCGGAUUCCGGGGACACUACCAGACUUGAGACCGGGGGAGAUCAGAGGUACUUGCGGGGGAGCGGUGAAAUGUUGUAAUCCCGCAGGGACCACCAAUGGCGAAGGCAUCUGAUCAAAACGGCUCUGACGGUGAGGGACGAAACCCUGGGGCGCAAACGGGAUUAGAUACCCCGGUAGUCCAGGGCGUAAACGCUGCUGACUUGGUGUUGGGGGCCCUGCGAGGGCGUCCAGUGCCGGCACGAAGGUAUUGAGUCAGCCGCCUGGGGAGUACGGUCGCAAGACUGAAACUAAAGGAAU
rnacentral:rRNA from 1 species